UGUGAUACAGAUUAACAUGACUACUUUCACUUUCUGAAUGACUCAGGCAAGUUUAAAUUCAUUUAUUUAUUUUCACAAUAUUCAUUUUUGAAGUACAAGUGACAUUAGCAUUAUAAUGCUAAUGCUGAGUCACCGCCAUUGAAAGGAAUAUGAUGAUGCAGUGAGUAUGUGACAUAAACAAACUGGGCAAACUGGAAGACAGUGGCCCCUCCCGCUGGGCGUGUUGGGACUUAUAAGAAGAGUGUUUAGAUGAGGAUGACUUGUCAUUUUAAUCAGCUUUAAUCGACGGUACUCGACUGAGCUUCAACCUUGCUAGCCCAAACAACAACAACAACAACAAUGCCGGAAGUCAUCAUUGAGUACUGCAAUGGAUGAGGGUACAAGUGGAGGUAUAACGACCUCGCUAUGGCUCUUCAGCAGAUCCCCGGAGUGAAGGUUUUUGGCCAAUACGGGAGGAGAGACAGUUUCGAGGUGACCGUGGACGGCCAGUUGAUCUACUCCAAACUGAAAAUCGGCGCUUUCCCGUCUACAAACGAGAUUGUGUCGACGGUGCAGGCGAUGUCCAAUGCUAGAAAGUAGACACGGACACGAUAAAACCAAAGCAUGAUGGGAUGGACUGCGAUAGGCCGGACGCCGACUUCCUUCUUUGAAUGACUGUGCACGCUGAAAGCACAAAAGGGUGUGCACACGAUGUAAACUUUACAUUGUAAAGCCUUAGAAGGUUUUUAGCAGAUCUGGAGUCUGUUGGGAGUGUUCUCAUCAUGAGUCUGGUAUAUAAACUUAAUAGGGGAAGGGAGCUGCUUUGCCUUUUUUCUGUUUGAUUUUAAAGCAAUGGUGGGGAACCUGUGGUAUGUGGGCCAUCAUUUUAUUGGACAUGCAAUUCAUAAAAGCAUUGGGGGAAAAAAACGCUCCACACAAAUCUUUGCAUCCUAUUUUUUCAUAAUUUGGUACUUAAAAAAUGGUUCCCCAUCCAAUCAAGAUACAAUACUUGCUUCUUGACAAGAACGAGCAUUUGUAGCCUACUGCAAAUAAAGUGCAUCUUUCUGCUAAACAA